rnacentral:lncRNA from 1 species
GAUUAUUUUCUCCUCUUCAUGCAAUUAUCCAUCUAUUGAAGUUUUACUGUUUCUUUAAGGUUUACCUAAGAUACUCAUCUUCAUCAUCAUUAUUCUCUUGGAUCCAUUAAAUUUCAGCAUCCUCUCUGCUUCCUCUCUCAGCCCAGGUAGAAACAGCCAAGGUGAAUAAGGUUUUUUGCUUUUGUUUUUAACAGGAAUCUGGAGGUUUGAGGUGUGGAGCCUCAUGGUUGAAUUCAAGUUUCAAAGCUUAUAAUGACCCAGAAAAUAUAUUUGCUUAAUGAAUCAAGGAAACUGCAAGAAGGAAACAGCAUGAUUGUGGUGCUUUCAGGACAUUUUUUUUCUAUUUGGAGUUGA